CGCCAAAAUUACCUGGCGCGCCUGUAAUAGGUACGAAGGUACAAGUGGCGAUUGCAUCCCGCGAAUAUUUCUUGGAAUCUGAUUGGAAGCGGCACCAGUAGAAAUUUGGUUCCCAGUUAACAAACAGAGUACCAAUAACAUUGGAAAGAAUCGACAUUUUUCUAGAAAUAUAAUCAAUGUUUUUUACCGUCCUGUGCUGUCUUAAAGGAGCUAAUCAAAUUCUUCAAUCGUUUUCAUCGUUUUCAACGUUUUCACGUAGCCAUUUCACCGGACGCUGCGUCGUCACUGUUUUCACUGGAAAAAAUAAAGAUACAAGAAAACGCA